CAGUCGAGCGGAGUGAUAGUGCUUGCACUAUCACUUAGCGGCGGACGGGUGAGUAAUGCUUAGGAAUCUGCCUAUUAGUGGGGGACAACAUUUCGAAAGGAAUGCUAAUACCGCAUACGUCCUACGGGAGAAAGCAGGGGAUCUUCGGACCUUGCGCUAAUAGAUGAGCCUAAGUCGGAUUAGCUAGUUGGUGGGGUAAAGGCCUACCAAGGCGACGAUCUGUAGCGGGUCUGAGAGGAUGAUCCGCCACACUGGGACUGAGACACGGCCCAGACUCCUACGGGAGGCAGCAGUGGGGAAUAUUGGACAAUGGGCGCAAGCCUGAUCCAGCCAUGCCGCGUGUGUGAAGAAGGCCUUAUGGUUGUAAAGCACUUUAAGCGAGGAGGAGGCUACUUUAGUUAAUACCUAGAGAUAGUGGACGUUACUCGCAGAAUAAGCACCGGCUAACUCUGUGCCAGCAGCCGCGGUAAUACAGAGGGUGCAAGCGUUAAUCGGGAUUUACUGGGCGUAAAGCGCGCGUAGGCGGCUAAAUUAAGUCAAAUGUGAAAUCCCCGAGCUUAACUUGGGAAUUGCAUUCGAUACUGGUUAGCUAGAGUGUGGGAGAGGAUGGUAGAAUUCCAGGUGUAGCGGUGAAAUGCGUAGAGAUCUGGAGGAAUACCGAUGGCGAAGGCAGCCAUCUGGCCUAACACUGACGCUGAGGUGCGAAAGCAUGGGGAGCAAACAGGAUUAGAUACCCUGGUAGUCCAUGCCGUAAACGAUGUCUACUAGCCGUUGGGGCCUUUGAGGCUUUAGUGGCGCAGCUAACGCGAUAAGUAGACCGCCUGGGGAGUACGGUCGCAAGACUAAAACUCAAAUGAAUUGACGGGGGCCCGCACAAGCGGUGGAGCAUGUGGUUUAAUUCGAUGCAACGCGAAGAACCUUACCUGGCCUUGACAUAGUAAGAACUUUCCAGAGAUGGAUUGGUGCCUUCGGGAACUUACAU
rnacentral:rRNA from 1 species